rnacentral:rRNA from 1 species
UUCGUAGGCGGUGCGGCAAGUCGGGAGUGAAAUCUAUGGGCUCAACCCAUAGGCUGCUUCCGAAACUGCCGUGCUGGAGUGUGGGAGAGGCGCGUGGAAUUGCAGGUGUAGCGGUGAAAUGCGUAGAUAUUUGCAGGAACACCCGUGGCGAAAGCGGCGCGCUGGACCACUACUGACGCUGAGGAACGAAAGCUAGGGGAGCAAACAGGAUUAGAUACCCUGGUAGUCCUAGCCCUAAACGAUCAGGGCUUGGGGUGCCGCCCGUUCGGGCGUCGUCCCGGAGCUAACGCGUUAAGUCCUGCACCUGGGGAGUACGGUCGCAAGACUGAA